GACCGCAUAGCUCAGUUGGAAGAGCAUUGGGCUAGUAUUCCAAAGGUCGUAGGUUCGAAUCCCACCGUGGCCG